UAUUUUACAAUAUUAAGAGCUGAAUCAGAAAUUUUUAAGUGACCUUGUUAUUAUCUUUACUUGGAUCUUGUAGAGUUGCUCUUGACCUCAUUAAGGUUUAGUCAUUCGUUGAAAUUCCGUAACACCCAUCCCAAUGUUCGCAACUGUAAUAAAUCAUAGGUUAAGGUUAAUGUAACCUAUUUGUAAACAAGAUUCCGCGCUUAAAAUUUUGACAGGAAGACGUUCAGUUAAAAAUUAAAUACAGACAUUGAUCUUCAUUUGGCAGUUUCCUUUUCUUCACAAAAUGAGCAAAGUUAGAUGUGUAUUCGUCGUUGGGGACAUACCACACCUGUCCUUGCGCUAGUUCUCUGAAAUAGGGAAAAGACAAGCCUAGCAAGGCAAAAAACAGAAAGUCACAUGAAAACAAGGAUUUCGCAGUGAACGAAAAAGUAAUGGGCUUCUGGAAACCGGAGAAGAAAUGGUAUAAUGCAACAGUCUUAGAAAAAACUAAAUCAGGUUACAAAGUCGUAUUUGCAGACGACAACUUAGUACGAGUGUUAGGUCUACAAAAUCUACGAAAAAAGACAUCGAGAUGAAUUCAGCUAAAGGUGUUUUGUUCAUAUAUGAACUUACAAGAAACUCACAACUCAUCUGAUAAUAUUCUCAAAACAGGAUAUAAUAAACAAUAUCAACAACAAAACGAAGCUGUAUUUCCUUGUCCUUGAACAAAAGACAUUUAGCAUCAGUCAAAUGAUCCUAUAUAUUUAUACAUGUAUACAAGAUUGAACAAGGUUAUAUAUUUGUUAUUUAAUUUAUAUUGGGACAUUAUCAUGAUAUCUUAAUGAUAAAAAAAACCAUUCAUAAAAUUAGC